rnacentral:misc_RNA from 1 species
AAAUUUAAGAGGAUUUUUAAUUUUAUAAUAAGAGAUGAAUGUUGUUGCGUAAUGAAAUAAAUAUAAAAAAGUAGCGACAAAACAGGAAAGCACGCUGUAUGUGUGGGCAGAGGAAGGGGCGCCAACCUCCUCUCUGUUCUCUCCCUAUAAAAGAAAACUGAAAAACUGGCAGUUGCCCUGCGCUUCUCUUCCCUUCUCAACCCCGUCUUUUAUUUAUUUUUAUCCAUAUAUGGACGAGGUUCGCCGGCGACCCCCCAAGCAUAUCGUCCGGAAGGACCACGACGGCGAAGUUCUCAACUCCUUCAGCCAUGGCCACCAUCUUCCUCCUCUCAAGCCGUCUGAUUAUUCUCUCCCUCUCUCCCUCUACCUCGCUAAUGCUCUCGUUUUCUCGCUCUUCUUCUCAGUUGCUUAUUUCCUUCUCCACAGAUGGCGGGAAAAGAUCCGCAAAUCCACUCCUCUUCACAUAGUCACCUUCCCUGAGAUUGCUGCUUUGAUUUGCUUGGUAGCUUCUGUCAUCUAUCUUCUUGGUUUCUUUGGCAUUGGCUUCGUCCACUCCUUUUCUAGAGCUUCCACCGAUUCCUGGGAUGUCGAAGAAUACGAUGAUGAUAACAUUAUCAUCAAGGAAGAUACUCGUCCUACGGGGGCUUGCGCUGCACCUUCCCUUGACUGCUCCCUCUCUCUUCCCACCAAAAUUCAUGCACCCAUUGUCUCGACUACAACCACCAGUACUUUAUCUGAUGAUGACGAACAAAUUAUCAAAUCAGUAGUCUCUGGCUCCAUUCCUUCCUAUUCCCUUGAAUCAAAGCUUGGGAACUGUAAGCGGGCUGCUUUAAUUCGCCGGGAGACGCUGCAGAGGAUGUCGGGGAGAUCCUUGGAGGGACUGCCCUUAGAUGGGUUCGAUUACGAGUCAAUAUUGGGGCAGUGCUGCGAGAUGGCAAUUGGGUACGUGCAGAUUCCGGUGGGAAUUGCUGGGCCAUUGUUGCUGGAUGGAAAGGAAUAUACUGUGCCAAUGGCCACGACCGAGGGUUGCCUUGUGGCCAGUGCAAAUAGAGGAUGCAAGGCCAUUUACGCAUCGGGAGGGGCUACCUCCGUGUUGCUGAGGGACGGCAUGACCCGUGCUCCCGUUGUUAGGUUUCCCACCGCCAAGAGGGCCGCUGACUUGAAGUUUUUCAUGGAGGACCCUGACAAUUUCGAUACCAUUGCCGUUGUUUUCAAUAAGUUCGAUCCUUUCCCCUUUUCCCCCUAUAUAAAAGUAAAGCGUCACCUUUUAAAAUGAUUAUGAGCCAAUUUUUACUAAAAUGCAUUUUUUUUUGAGAUAUCGGUAUAGUUGGUAAAUGUUCAAGUAGUCAUCUAUAAAAGGGGAUGGACUCUUGCUUCCAUUUUAUUUGACGUGGUUUUGCUGUUGGCAUUUAUUUGUUUGCGGUGAUUGUGAUGUUGAUGGAUUAUUCUUUUAUAUUUUGCUUGAAUCAUUCUUUGCCCACUUCCUAUUAUAGACCACAACAAUAAUUUCGUAUUGGCAUUUACCAUGAAGAAAAUAAGAGAGUUUUAAUUUGUUUCGUUGAUUAAUUUCAUAAAUAUUAUGCAGGUCAAGCAGAUUUGCGAGGCUACAGAGUGUCCAAUGUGCAAUAGCAGGAAAAAAUUUAUACAUGAGGUUUAGCUGCAGCACAGGUGAUGCCAUGGGGAUGAAUAUGGUCUCCAAAGCGGUCCAAAAUGUCAUCGAUUAUCUCCAGAAUGAUUUUCCUGACAUGGAUGUCAUCGGUCUCACUGGGAACUUCUGUGCGGACAAGAAGGCAGCAGCAGUAAACUGGAUAGAAGGGCGUGGGAAGUCUGUUGUAUGUGAAGCAAUCAUAAAGGAAGAGGUGGUUAAGAAGGUAUUGAAAACCAACGUGGCCGCCCUGGUGGAGCUUAACAUGAUUAAAAACCUUACUGGCUCAGCCGUAGCAGGUUCUCUUGGUGGGUUUAACGCCCAUGCUAGCAAUAUGGUAACUGCAGUAUACAUAGCUACAGGGCAGGAUCCUGCUCAAAACGUGGAGAGCUCUCACUGCAUUACCAUGAUGGAAGCUGUUAACGAUGGCAAGGACCUUCACAUCUCAGUGUCCAUGCCUUCCAUUGAGCUGGGCACAGUUGGAGGUGGUACUCAACUUGCAUCUCAAUCAGCUUGUCUGAACCUACUUGGGGUAAAGGGUGCAAGCAAAGAUUCCCCUGGUUCAAACUCAAGGCUUCUGGCAACUAUUGUCGCUGGUUCUGUUCUGGCAGGGGAGCUGUCUCUUAUGUCUGCUAUUGCAGCUGGGCAACUCGUUAAUAGCCACAUGAAAUACAACAGAUCUGCAAAAGAUGUAUCCAAAAUAACUUUCUGAAGGGUAACACAGCUGCUUUGUUUAGUUGAGAAACUAGAAAUAAAUUAUCAAUCAAGUAUAUGUAGCAUAAUAAUGGUCGGCAACUGUUGAGGGGGACAAACAAAGAAAAGUCCUUGUGGAGGAAUAUCUUUAAAAUAAAUGGAGCCCGCUUUGCUGGUAGAUACUGCAUUUGAUAUCCAGAGCCAUGUGAGACUGUUGGGUCUCUUUCCAAGAUCUCUUCACUACCCUACAAUUGUAAGAUUUUAGGGUCAGGGGUUGCCAUAAAUUGUUUAUACUUGCUCUUGAUGUCAUGAAGCCACCUGAAUGCCCCUAGAGGUUUCCAGUGUUCGGUAUAUUCCUCCUGCCAACCAAACUUGCGAUCUUUCUUGUAUUACUCGUAAUUUUAUUUGUUGUUAAUUUUGUUGUGGUAUGUAUUAGUUUAGGAAAGGAGAUGUUGUAAUAGGAUUUAGGUCUGUUUAGAUAUGUGUUAUCUGUUGUUUAGCUCUGAAUAUGACUCUAUGAAAUGAAACUUUCCAUCAGUUGGCCUGGAAUCCACCCUCCCCGUCAUAUUGAAGAAUCUUAAUUGUUUCGUAGUAAUCUUAUAGUAACUCGAUGAUAUUUG